rnacentral:rRNA from 1 species
AGAUAAUAGAUACCCAGGUAGUCCACGCCGUAAACGACGAUGACUAGCUGUCGGGGCUCUUGGAGUUUCGGUGGCGCAGCUAACGCGUUAAGUCAUCCGCCUGGGGAGUACGGCCGCAAGGUUAAAACUCAAAGAAAUUGACGGGGGCCUGCACAAGCGGUGGAGCAUGUGGUUUAAUUCGAAGCAACGCGCAGAACCUUACCAGCGUUUGACAUGGUAGGACGGUUUCCAGAGAUGGAUUCCUUCCCUUACGGGACCUACACACAGGUGCUGCAUGGCUGUCGUCAGCUCGUGUCGUGA